GAUGAAGAACGUAGCGAAAUGCGAUAAGUAAUGUGAAUUGCAGAAUUCAGUGAAUCAUCGAAUCUUUGAACGCACAUUGCGCCCGCCAGUAUUCUGGCGGGCAUGCCUGUUCGAGCGUCAUUUCAACCAUCAAGCCCCCGGGCUUGUGUUGGGGACCUGCGGCUGCCGCAGGCCCUGAAAAGCAGUGGCGGGCUCGCUGUCACACCGAGCGUAGUAGCAUACAUCUCGCUCUGGGCGUGAUGCGGGUUCCGGCCGUUAAACCACCUUUUAACCCAAGGUUGACCUCGGAUCAGGUAGGAAGACCCGCUGAACUUAAGCAUAUCAAUAAGCGGAGGA
rnacentral:misc_RNA from 1 species